GGCAUUGUCAAAUGCCUUGAAGAAAAAUUUCGAAUGAUGAGGUAUGGUGUUCCAUUUACAAUUUUCCUUAUCAGUCCUGAGGCCAGAAUGAAGAAAAAUAGACAAAUCCAUUCAAGAGGAUACAUUUGCAUGGAUGAGUGCAAACACAAAUUGCAACUCAUACACUCUAAAUAAAUACUUCACAGCUGAGACACGGAUGCAUGGAUUAUUCAAUGAAAUAUACACCUCAAUUAAAAUAACAAAGGUCAAACGAAGUUAGUUUGAACUUUGUUCACUAAAUGCUCUCCAUAAACUGCUNNNNNNNNCUUCCUGAUACCACCAGUCCUCUUUACACAAAUAUCUGAAGGCUCCACAGCUGCAUCAAAGUUGGGCUCAUGGAAAUAAGCUAUGCAUACACGAUAUUUAGGAGAGGAGUUGAUGACCUGAUGCAGAGUUGAAUCAUACAAACCAUUUGACCAAAUCUUUAGCAUGUCCCCAAUGUUGCAUACAAAUGUUCCAGGAAUUGGGGGAGCUGAUAUCCACUCACCAGACAGGUUUCUAACCUGAAGUGCAGUUAUAUCAUCAUCCUGAUUAACCAAAGUCAACAAACCAUAAUCAGUGUGAGCUCCACAUCCAAUGUCAUUUUCAGCCAAAUCUUGGCCUCUUGCACUAGAUACACCUGGAUAACCAAUAAUACGCAACACCCAAAAUGCAUCACCGGCUAUUUCACCUUCCAAUUCAUCAGCUGAACCACCCAAUGCUAGAGCAAUUCCCCGCAGGAUUUUUCUUGAUAGUUCUGUGCAAAGGGCUGCAUAUUCCUCCAUCAGUGUUUUGAAGUUUGGUGGAUUAAGUGGCCAUUGAUUAUGUCCUUCCAUGGGUUUGCCAAGCUCUCCAUACAGCCCCAGUUUCAUUUCUCUGUAACACUAUAAUGAACAUAAAACAAAACAAUAAUCAUUGUCUAGUGAAGAAAAAAAAAAUGAAAGGAGAAAC
rnacentral:misc_RNA from 1 species